rnacentral:rRNA from 1 species
UACGGGGGGGGCAAGCGUUGUUCGGAAUUACUGGGCGUAAAGGGCUCGUAGGCGGCCAACUAAGUCGGAUGUGAAAUCCCCAGGCUCAACCUGGGAACUGCAUCCGAUACUGGAUGGCUUGAAUUCGGGAGAGGGAUGCAGAAUUCCAGGUGUAGCGGUGAAAUGCGUAGAUAUCUGGAGGAACACCGGUGGCGAAGGCGGCGUUCUGGACUGCAACUGACACUGAGGAACGAAAGCCAGGGGAGCAAACGGG